GGUCAAGUGAAGAAGCGCAUACGGUGGAUGCCUUGGCAGUCAGAGGCGAUGAAAGACGUGGUAGCCUGCGAAAAGCUUCGGGGAGUCGGCAAACAGACUUUGAUCCGGAGAUGUCUGAAUGGGGGAACCCAGCCAUCACAAGAUGGUUAUCUUGUACUGAAUACAUAGGUGCAAGAGGCGAACCAGGGGAACUGAAACAUCUAAGUACCCUGAGGAAAAGAAAUCAACCGAGAUUCCCUUAGUAGUGGCGAGCGAACGGGGACUAGCCCUUAAGUGGCUUUGAGAUUAGCGGAACGCUCUGGAAAGUGCGGCCAUAGUGGGUGAUAGCCCUGUACGCGAAAGUCUCUUAGUCAUGAAAUCGAGUAGGACGGAGCACGAGAAACUUUGUCUGAAUAUGGGGGGACCAUCCUCCAAGGCUAAAUACUACUGACUGACCGAUAGUGAACUAGUACCGUGAGGGAAAGGCGAAAAGAACCCCGGAGAGGGGAGUGAAAUAGAUCCUGAAACCGUAUGCGUACAAGCAGUGGGAGCAGACUUUGUUCUGUGACUGCGUACCUUUUGUAUAAUGGGUCAGCGACUUAUAUUCAGUGGCGAGCUUAACCGAAUAGGGGAGGCGUAGCGAAAGCGAGUCUUAAUAGGGCGUUUAGUCGCUGGGUAUAGACCCGAAACCGGGCGAUCUAUCCAUGGGCAGGUUGAAGGUUAGGUAACACUGACUGGAGGACCGAACCGACUACCGUUGAAAAGUUAGCGGAUGACCUGUGGAUCGGAGUGAAAGGCUAAUCAAGCUCGGAGAUAGCUGGUUCUCCUCGAAAGCUAUUUAGGUAGCGCCUCAUGUAUCACUGUAGGGGGUAGAGCACUGUUUCGGCUAGGGGGUCAUCCCGACUUACCAAACCGAUGCAAACUCCGAAUACCUACAAGUGCCGAGCAUGGGAGACACACGGCGGGUGCUAACGUCCGUCGUGAAAAGGGAAACAACCCAGACCGUCAGCUAAGGUCCCAAAGUUAUGGUUAAGUGGGAAACGAUGUGGGAAGGCUUAGACAGCUAGGAGGUUGGCUUAGAAGCAGCCACCCUUUAAAGAAAGCGUAAUAGCUCACUAGUCGAGUCGGCCUGCGCGGAAGAUGUAACGGGGCUCAAACCAUACACCGAAGCUACGGGUAUCACUUAGGUGAUGCGGUAGAGGAGCGUUCUGUAAGCCUGUGAAGGUGAGUUGAGAAGCUUGCUGGAGGUAUCAGAAGUGCGAAUGCUGACAUGAGUAACGACAAUGGGUGUGAAAAACACCCACGCCGAAAGACCAAGGUUUCCUGCGCAACGUUAAUCGACGCAGGGUUAGUCGGUCCCUAAGGCGAGGCUGAAAAGCGUAGUCGAUGGAAAACAGGUUAAUAUUCCUGUACUUCUGGUUAUUGCGAUGGAGGGACGGAGAAGGCUAGGCCAGCUUGGCGUUGGUUGUCCAAGUUUAAGGUGGUAGGCUGAGAUCUUAGGUAAAUCCGGGAUCUUAAGGCCGAGAGCUGAUGACGAGUUGCCUUUAGGCGACGAAGUGGUUGAUGCCAUGCUUCCAAGAAAAGCUUCUAAGCUUCAGAUAACCAGGAACCGUACCCCAAACCGACACAGGUGGUUGGGUAGAGAAUACCAAGGCGCUUGAGAGAACUCGGGUGAAGGAACUAGGCAAAAUGGCACCGUAACUUCGGGAGAAGGUGCGCCGGUGAGGGUGAAGCACUUGCUGCGUAAGCCCACGCCGGUCGAAGAUACCAGGCCGCUGCGACUGUUUAUUAAAAACACAGCACUCUGCAAACACGAAAGUGGACGUAUAGGGUGUGACGCCUGCCCGGUGCCGGAAGGUUAAUUGAUGGGGUUAGCUAACGCGAAGCUCUUGAUCGAAGCCCCGGUAAACGGCGGCCGUAACUAUAACGGUCCUAAGGUAGCGAAAUUCCUUGUCGGGUAAGUUCCGACCUGCACGAAUGGCGUAACGAUGGCGGCGCUGUCUCCACCCGAGACUCAGUGAAAUUGAAAUCGCUGUGAAGAUGCAGUGUAUCCGCGGCUAGACGGAAAGACCCCGUGAACCUUUACUAUAGCUUUGCACUGGACUUUGAAUUUGCUUGUGUAGGAUAGGUGGGAGGCUUUGAAGCGUGGACGCCAGUUCGCGUGGAGCCAUCCUUGAAAUACCACCCUGGCAACUUUGAGGUUCUAACUCAGGUCCGUUAUCCGGAUCGAGGACAGUGUAUGGUGGGUAGUUUGACUGGGGCGGUCUCCUCCUAAAGAGUAACGGAGGAGUACGAAGGUGCGCUCAGACCGGUCGGAAAUCGGUCGUAGAGUAUAAAGGCAAAAGCGCGCUUGACUGCGAGACAGACACGUCGAGCAGGUACGAAAGUAGGUCUUAGUGAUCCGGUGGUUCUGUAUGGAAGGGCCAUCGCUCAACGGAUAAAAGGUACUCCGGGGAUAACAGGCUGAUACCGCCCAAGAGUUCAUAUCGACGGCGGUGUUUGGCACCUCGAUGUCGGCUCAUCACAUCCUGGGGCUGAAGCCGGUCCCAAGGGUAUGGCUGUUCGCCAUUUAAAGUGGUACGCGAGCUGGGUUUAGAACGUCGUGAGACAGUUCGGUCCCUAUCUGCCGUGGACGUUUGAGAUUUGAGAGGGGCUGCUCCUAGUACGAGAGGACCGGAGUGGACGAACCUCUGGUGUUCCGGUUGUCACGCCAGUGGCAUUGCCGGGUAGCUAUGUUCGGGAAAGAUAACCGCUGAAAGCAUCUAAGCGGGAAACUUGCCUCAAGAUGAGAUCUCACUGGAACCUUGAGUUCCCUGAAGGGCCGUCGAAGACUACGACGUUGAUAGGUUGGGUGUGUAAGCGCUGUGAGGCGUUGAGCUAACCAAUACUAAUUGCCCGUGAGGCUUGACCAU
rnacentral:rRNA from 1 species